UGAAUUUGUUUUAUACGCAUUAAACGUGUUCCAAUAUUUUAAAGCAUAUGGUAACGCAUGCUAUUCAUUUCGAUACAAAAUUCGUGAACACGCUGAAAUUUGUAUAUCUGCCUAUAGACAUGUAAAGGAGGGGAAGGUAAUAACGUCCGAAGGUUUUAAUUCAAUUUGUGUUUGUUAAUAAAUUCGUGACCGUGUUCGUGUAGUGCCCGUAUCGUAUACCGUUUUCAAUCAAUUAUUCUGGCAGUACUUUGUGACUGAACUGAUUUUGGAAACAGUGAAAAAGAAUUUUUAUAGCCGAUUAAAAAGGAGUUCGGAUAAACAAGACGAAAAACCACACGCCCAACCUACUGCGGACGAUUUAGAUCUUGCAAAUGUUCUCAGGACUAAACGGAGAAAAAUUACAUUGUUAAGAAUGUCAAAUAGUACGUACAGUAUGUACAAUUGUACACGCAGUAUUUAUUUCACUCAAACAACCUACUUUGAAUGAUUUUGAUUACUAGAUUUUGAAGAUUACUCGAAUUUUGAGGGAUACAGAAGGGCGUCAUCUCAACGUUUGAUGGACGACUGUUAUAUUUUGAAAAAGACACCAUCCAAAUGAAAAUAAAUUUGCGCCAAUGAGAAUCUGGAAGAGCACUCCACGCAGCUGAUCUACCGCUCUUUUAGUCUUUGAUGGACGGCUAUUAUUUUUGGAAAAUAGGCCCAGAGCACCAAAUAAAAAAAAUUUGCAUCUUUGAGAGUGCCGAAGAGUGUAGGUACUACGCGCGCGAUGACUUAAUGGGCACUUUUCGUUUGUAUAAAACUAAUUGGGUUUUUCUUUGUGUUUUUUUUUUGUAAAUAUACUCUCCCUCACGGUGGGAAUGAGUGGACGUGACUGUGUUACCUACAGAAUUUGGAGGAGUACACUACAUAGAGGGUGCACCGCUUUCUCAGGGUUCUAUCCACAACUGCUAUAUUUUGGAAAUGAUGUCCGCACGACCAAUUGGGGACAAUAUGCAUAGUUGAGGUAGUAAACUAAUUUCUUCUUACCACGCGCCCAUUUAAUUGCACUUUGUUAAAUUUUGGGGUACCCUCCAUCACCAUGGAGACGAGCCGACAUGCUCUACGCUACAGAAUUUUGAGGAGCAUCCUACGCUUAGGGAUACCGCUACCUCAUCUGCUUUUGAUGAACGACUACCAUUUUUUGAAAAGCAUACCUCUUCCAAAAUGGACACCAGUUUCAUCUUUGAGAAUUUCCAGGAGUACUCAACGCUAUUCGCUCAAUCAGCUUAGCUAGAAUGUUUGUUGGAAUUUGGAAGAAGAUGGCUAUCCCAUGUCCACGUUUGGGACACUUGUUAUAUCUAAUUGGUUGGAGGUUACCUGAAAACCUCGUCCAAAUAAAGACAAAUUAAAAUAAAUUAAAGGCUCUUCUUUAUAUACCCUACCUACCCUUUUAUUUGUACCUAUUUCAUUUAUAUUCCAGCGCACUCACGCUGGAGAUGAGUUAUUGUGAUUAUGUUUCAGAAUGUUCAACGGCACUACUACGAGACCGUAGUCUUCUGUGGAUGAUUUGAAGAUGUCCCCAGUUUUAAAGAGAACAAUUUUCAUCGUAAAGGUAUUUUAGCUAAUGUGACCCUCUUGAAUUAUUCCUACGCAUUAUUUAUCACUGUGCGCCACUCUCCCAUACUAAUGUGAAUAUGUUUCAGAUGCUGAGUACCUACACCCAAUGUUCAGUCGUUGUUCUAAUAAAGGUAAAGGUAUGCAUUGCAGAAUUUCAUCCGUCUUAAUGGCUGUAUUGCAACCGCUUUCCCAUUUUCCUUUUGUUGUUGUACGACGUAUGUGAAGUUUCGUUCUGUUGAAAUAAAUUUUAGUGGAGGAAAUCUUUCACACAACAUCGGUAAAUGCGCGAGUAAAUUAAUAAACAGGUAAUAGUACUGUGUAUACACUUUUUGGACAUACCAUUUCAUUGAAAUAUAAUUUACUUGUGGUAAAUUGCGUGUAAAGUAUUUUUCCUUCAAUUCGCCCCGAACUCGGAAAUUAAAGUACCCGGCCCCUUCAAUAUUUCCUCGCCAGUAAUGUAUCAUUUUCCUGAUUGUUAUGUAAAUAAAUAUAAUUGAGUUACCAUUAAUUUUAUUUCUAUACGUGCUCUUUUUUACGGUGGAGAUGAGUGGACAUGAUUAUGUUACAGAGUUUGGGGGAAUACAGUACGCAGAAGCCAUCUCCGCCUUUGAUGGACGACUGCUAUAUUUUGAAGAAGAUGCCUCCACAACUACCUAUGAAAAAAAUUGCACUUUUUUUAAAUUUUACUGCACUGGCUAUCACGAUGAAGACGUGUCGGCUUGAUUUAUGUUACAGGAAUUUUGAGGGACACUACGCAGCUGGUAUACCCCUCUUUUAGUCUUUGAUGGACGGCUAUUAUUUCUGAAAAAUAGGCCCCUAGCACCAAAUUAAAAAAAUUUGCAUCUGUGAGGUAGGUUUUCUUGUCACGCAAUCUUUUAAUUGCAUUUGUGCGACAUCCUCCGUCACGAGGGAGACUGCCGACGUGAUUUAUGUUACAGAGUGCCGAAGUGUAUACUACGCGCGCGAUGAUUGCUGAGGGUAAUAUCCGUGAAAAUGCCAUUUAAUGGACACUGUUCCUUUGUUUUAAAAUAAUUGGGUUUAAAAAACAGCAUCAGCUGACAGCCCGCCCAAAUAAAAAAUUAAAAAGCUUAUAAUAAUUUAAUUAAAGAACCCUAUUCCCUUCAUAUACUCUUCAGCGUGUCCAUUUUGUAAAUAUACGCACUCUUCAAUCAUGUUGGGAAGUGGUCUGACUAUGUUACAGAAUUUCGAGAACUAGGUACACCACGCAGGAGGCGCACCCGAUCUCUCGUCAUUCUAUGGACGACUGCUAUAUUUUGUAAAUGAGUGCCCCACGACCAAAGGGACAAAAAUUACAUCUUUGAGGUAGUUAAGCUCAUUUUUGAUUGUCAUGUGCCCUUUUAAUCGUACUUUGUUAAUUUUUGCGGCACCCUCCAUCACGGUGGGGACGUGCCAAUGUGAUUUAUGUUACAGGAUUUUGAGGAGCACACUACGCAGCGAAUAUAGAGCUCCCUUAGUCUUUGAUGGAUGACUGCUAUUUUUGAAAAAUAUGCACCGACCACCAAAUGAAAAAAAUUGCGUCUAUGAGGUAGUCGAGUUAAUUUUCUUUUACAAUACAUUCUUAGAUACCUACCACUGUUCUUAAUCCAUCACGCUGGGGACGUGCCGGGGUGAUUUAUGUUACAGAAUUUCGAGGAGUACCAUACGCAGCGGGAAUGCCGCUAAACUCACCCUUUGUUGGACCACUACUACAUUUGGAAAAGAUUCCCCUAGGUGCAAGUACUACAUGAACGGUUAGAGAAAAUGUGCAUCGUUGAGGUUAAUUUUGAACGUAUUUUUUUUCAAGAAUGCGCUAAAAAUUAACGUAACUACCUCAUAUUAUAUUCGUUAUGGCUGGCUGGCUGUCCGGCAGAGAAUUUUUUCUUGCCAUGCGUCCUUUUGAUUGUACUUUUUAUUAAUUUUGCGCCACCCUCCAUCACGAUAGAGACGUGCGGGCGUGAUUUAUGUUACAGAAUUUCGAGGAGCGCCCUACGCAGCGAGAAUACCGCUCGAUUAGCCUUUAAUGGACGACUGCUACAUGUUGAACAACAACGCCUCCAAGGACAAAUGGAAAGAAAUGCAUCGUUAGGGUGGUUAACCUAAUUUCAUCAUGUCGUGUGCUCUUUUAAUUGCAAUUUUUUUAAACUUUGUGGUACCCUCCGAUCUCCAUCAUGGUGGAGGAUGUACCGACAUGAUUUAUGUUACAGAGUGCCGAAGUGUAUACCACGCGCAGUAGUUCACUCAAUUAGCACACUUUGGAUGAUUGCUGAAUUUUGAAUAAGGAAUAAGAUGACUCCGUCAGGAUACCAUGCACACUUGCUCUUUGUACAAAACUAAUUGGGUUUAAAGAACCGGCCUAAGCUGAAAGCCCUCGCAAAUAAAAAAUUAAAAAGAUUAUAAUUACGAGUAUUUAAUUAAAGAAACCUCUUCCCUUCAUAUACUUUUAUUGUAUCUCUUUCCCAAAUAUGCGUACUGACUAUGUUACAGAAUUUCGAGGAGUACACUAUACAGAGGGUGGUCAGCAUUCUAUGGACUACUGCCCACUAUCAAAUGGAAAAUUUUUGAUUCGUUGCGGUAGUUAAACUAAUAUCUUCUUGUUAUGGACCCUUUUAAUUGCACCCUAUUAAAUCUUACAGCACUCCCCAUUAUAUUAUUUAUGUUACAGGACGAGUUACAGGAUUUGAGGAGCACACUAUGCAGAGGGAUAGCCUUUGAUGAACGACUGCUAUUUUGAGGAGCACCGUACGCAACUGGUACACCGCCCUUCUAGUCUGUGACGGGCAGCUGUUAUUUGAAAAUACCUACCACCAAAUGAAAAAAAAAACCUGCAGCUUUUAUGUCAUUUUUUCAUGUAACGCGCUCUUUUAAUUGCUUUUUUUAAAUUUUGCAGCACCGUCUAUCACGAUGGAGUCGUGCCGACCUGAUUUAUGUUACCGAGUGCCAAAGUGUAUACCACGCGGAGUAUUUCACGCAAUUGACCUACCUUCGAUGAAUGCUGAAUUUUGUAUAAGAAUAUAAGAUUCUAAUUGGGUUUAAAAAAAUCCCGCGCAAAUAAAAAAUUAAAAAGAUUAUAAUAAAGAACCCUCUUCCCUUCAUAUACCUACUUCUCAUUAUGUCUCUAGUUAGUAAAUUUACCCACUUGUGGACGUGACUAUGUUACAGAAUUUCAAGAAGUACACUACGCAGAGGAUGCACCGGGCUCUCAGAAUUCCAUGGACGACUACUGUAAUUUGGAAAUGAUUCUCACACGACCAAAUGGAUAAAACGCGCAUCUUUGAGAUAGUUAAGCCAAAAUUUUUCAUGUGCCCUUUUAAUUGCACUUUUUUUAAAUUUUGUGGCACCUUCCAUCGCGAUGGAGACGGGUCAGCAUGAUUUAUGUUACAGAAUUACGAGGAGCACCUUACGCUUGCUUACCCUUUGAUGGAGGACUGCUACAUUUAAAAAACGCCCCCAAGACCAAAUGGAAAGAAAUGCAUAGUUGGGGUAGUUAUUUCUUCCUUUUAAAUGCAUUUUUUUUAAUUUUACGGCACCAUCCAUCACGGCUAGGACGUGCCGGGGUGAUAUAUUACAGAAUUUCGUGGAGC